rnacentral:lncRNA from 1 species
AGAAAUCCAUGUUGGAAAAGCUCAAACUUUUCAACAGUAAGGGAGGCUCCAAAGCGGGCGAGGGCUCAGCAUCCCGGGACACGAGCUGUGAGCGGUUAGAGAUCCUGCCCAGCUUUGAAGAGAGCGAAGAGUUGGAGGUCGCUAACAGGGCGCCUCCUACUGCAGGCCCUGCAUCCAGUAGCCCCAAGAUUGCACUCAAGGGCAUUGCACAGAGGACUUUCAGCAGGGCGCUUACCAAUAAGAAGAGCUCCCCAAAGGGCAAUGAGAAAGAGAA